rnacentral:rRNA from 1 species
UACGGGGGGGCAAGCGUUGUUCGGAAUUACUGGGUCGUAAAGGGCUCGUAGGCGGCCAACUAAGUCGGACGAUUGAAAUCCCCAGGCUCAACCUGGGAACUGCGUCCGAUACUGGAUGGCUUGAAUUCGGGAGAGGGAUGCAGAAGUUCCAGGUGUAGCGGUGAAAUUCGUAGAUAUCAGGAGGAACACCAGUGGCGAAG